rnacentral:rRNA from 1 species
AGUGAACGCUGGCGGUAGGCCUAACACAUGCAAGUCGAACGGCAGCACAGUAAGAGCUUGCUCUUACGGGUGGCGAGUGGCGGACGGGUGAGGAAUACAUCGGAAUCUACUUUUUCGUGGGGGAUAACGUAGGGAAACUUACUCUAAUACCGCAUACGACCUACGGGUGAAAGCAGGGGAUCUUCGGACCUUGCGCGAUUGAAUGAGCCGAUGUCGGAUUAGCUAGUUGGCGGGGUAAAGGCCCACCAAGGCGACGAUCCGUAGCUGGUCUGAGAGGAUGAUCAGCAACACUGGAACUGAGACACGGUCCAGACUCCUACGGGAGGCAGCAGUGGGGAAUAUUGGACAAUGGGCGAAAGCCUGAUCCAGCCAUACCGCGUGGGUGAAGAAGGCCUUCGGGUUGUAAAGCCCUUUUGUUGGGAAAGAAAAGCAGCAGGUUAAUACCCCGCUGUUCUGACGGUACCCAAAGAAUAAGCACCGGCUAACUUCGUG